rnacentral:rRNA from 1 species
GAUGAACGCUAGCUACAGGCUUAACACAUGCAAGUCGAGGGGCAGCAUGGUCUUAGCUUGCUAGGGCCGAUGGCGACCGGCGCACGGGUGAGUAACACGUAUCCAACCUGCCGUCUACUCUUGGACAGCCUUCUGAAAGGAAGAUUAAUACAAGAUGGCAUCAUGAGUCCACAUGUUCACAUGAUUAAAGGUAUUCCGGUAGACGAUGGGGAUGCGUUCCAUUAGAUAGUAGGCGGGGUAACGGCCCACCUAGUCUUCGAUGGAUAGGGGUUCUGAGAGGAAGGUCCCCCACAUUGGAACUGAGACACGGUCCAAACUCCUACGGGAGGCAGCAGUGAGGAAUAUUGGUCAAUGGGCGAGAGCCUGAACCAGCCAAGUAGCGUGAAGGAUGACUGCCCUAUGGGUUGUAAACUUCUUUUAUAAAGGAAUAAAGUCGGGUAUGGAUACCCGUUUGCAUGUACUUUAUGAAUAGGGAUCGGCUAACUCCGUGCCAGCAGCCGCGGUAAUACGGAGGAUCCGAGCGUUAUUCGGAUUUAUUGGGUUUAAAGGGAGCGUAGAUGGAUGUUUAAGUCAGUUGUGAAAGUUUGCGGCUCAACCGUAAAAUUGCAGUUGAUACUGGAUAUCUUGAGUGCAGUUGAGGCAGGCGGAAUUCGUGGUGUAGCGGUGAAAUGCUUAGAUAUCACGAAGAACUCCGAUUGGGAAGGCAGCCUGCUAAGCUGCAACUGACAUUGAGGCUCGAAAGUGUGGGUAUCAAACAGGAUUAGAUACCCUGGUAGUCCACACGGUAAACGAUGAAUACUCGCUGUUUGCGAUAUACAGCAAGCGGCCAAGCGAAAGCGUUAAGUAUUCCACCUGGGGAGUACGCCGGCAACGGUGAAACUCAAAGGAAUUGACGGGGGCCCGCACAAGCGGAGGAACAUGUGGUUUAAUUCGAUGAUACGCGAGGAACCUUACCCGGGCUUAAAUUGCAGAUGAAUUACGGUGAAAGCCGUAAGCCGCAAGGCAUCUGUGAAGGUGCUGCAUGGUUGUCGUCAGCUCGUGCCGUGAGGUGUCGGCUUAAGUGCCAUAACGAGCGCAACCCUUGUUGUCAGUUACUAACAGGUUCCGCUGAGGACUCUGACAAGACUGCCAUCGUAAGAUGUGAGGAAGGUGGGGAUGACGUCAAAUCAGCACGGCCCUUACGUCCGGGGCUACACACGUGUUACAAUGGGGGGUACAGAGGGCCGCUACCACGCGAGUGGAUGCCAAUCCCAAAAACCUCUCUCAGUUCGGACUGGAGUCUGCAACCCGACUCCACGAAGCUGGAUUCGCUAGUAAUCGCGCAUCAGCCACGGCGCGGUGAAUACGUUCCCGGGCCUUGUACACACCGCCCGUCAAGCCAUGGGAGCCGGGGGUACAAGAAGUGCGUAACCGCGAGGAGCGCCCUAGGGUA